GGCCUUGUGGUGCAAUGUUAGCGCGUCUGACGCCAGAUCUGAAGGUUGUCUGUUCAAAUCUCAUCAAGGUCA